AUACGUCAGAAGCGAUUUUUGUCCUUUUUUGACUGGUUGGGUAAUUUGCUGAAGAAAUCGAUUUUGGAGGGGGAAAAUCGAUUUUUUCUCUUAUGCAAACACACUGAAGCUGAUAAGCAUAGAAAUUGUGGGGAUUCCAGCCGGUUUUCCAGUCGCACAGAGCUGCUGUUGAGAGAUCCGAGCUGCCCCAAUCAGAAACUUCCGGUGAAGUCUCAUGGAAGAAGAAGAUCGGAUUCAGAAAGAAACAGGAAAGCAGCUGCCGGAAGUAGAUAGAGCACAAUCACAACAGCUGCAACUGCGACGACCACGACUCCAGCCUGGAGUGGAAGAGAAACUUGUCUUGCAAUUCAUGGAUUCUAUGCAUAACUACCUUGCCCUCUUUGAUGCAUUGUCUUCGACACUUCGUCAGGGAUGGCUGGAUUUAGCAAGUGCUCGACACUCUAUGGGUGGCUUACGCAUCAGUAGUUCCUUAUUGGACAUGAAACUCCAUUCAGCUGCUACAACAGUGAAGAUAACCCAAUAUGAUGAUAUUGCAGUGGACUCCAUUGCAGUGCAACCAUGCUUCAUGUUGCGCAAGUGGGUAUCCUCUGAAAAUGGAACUAGUCAAUUAGAAGAUAACAAUGUGCAUCUCCACGAGAGUGAUAGUAUUAUGCAAUCAUCUGCUGAAGAAAAUGCUGAGGUGACUGUUUCAAAGAACUUGUCCGGACCUACAGACAAUGAUCAAUUUCAGAAGGAGCGAUCCAAGUCACUGUCAACGUUUGGGAUUUUAAUUUCUCCAAAGCUUCGAGCCGCCCAGUUGUCAUUUGAGAGAGCACUAGAGACGCUUGUAGAAAUAGCAAACAUGCAGUCAUCGGUGCUAUAUUCUUUUGAUCAACUUCAUCAUGAGGUGGAAGAUAAUAAAAGAUGAAAAGGUAGGAAUUUUUCAGUAUUGGACAUGCCUGGAGACAAGUAGAAUAAUGCCUUGUGCGUAAGGACUUGUGUUUUCUGAUGGCAAGUACAUCAUUUUACUACACCAGCGGUGGCUGCGGCUAUCAAAUGUUGACUUUGAAUUGCAAGCAUACUUUGUGCCGUAGGGCAGAGGUGGUUAACCCGACCCUCUCAGCGGCCACUUUCCUGAGCAUCGCUCAGCGGCCAAAUCUGGUCCAUUUAAAUUAUCAAAAUCUCAUCAAUUUACAUAUUAGAUGGUUUAAAAAAAAGUGCAUGCGAAUAAUUUAUUUUUAAAUAGUAAAAAAAUAAAUUUUGAAAUAUCAUGUAGGGAUGAAAUGAAAGUAUAUUAGGUCAGGCUAGAGUUUGGCCUAAUAAGCCUUGCCUAUUUAUAUAAGCUUAAGCUUAACUUUUUUGUUAAACAGGCUAUGUUGAAAUUUAAACAAGUGAGGUUGUAUGACUCUGCAUGCUUGAAAUUUAAACAAGUGAGGUUGUAUGACUGUGCAUGCUUUUUUUUUUUAUGUUAAAUAGACUUUGUCACGCUUGCAAAGACAUACAAUUUAUCGUAUUUAAAUUCUGGCCUAGCCUAAUUAACAAAAAAGUCAAGCUUAAAUUUAUAAUUAAGUAUAUUUCUAUAAAUACACUGAGCCUGUUUCGUUAAAAUCUGACCUAGGUUUGACAUAUUUUCACCCUUAAAUUGAUCUUUCAAAAUGUUUUUUUUUUACUAUUUAAAAAUGAAUUGUUGACAUGCAUUUUUGAACGCCAUACGACAUAUGCAUAUAUGUGAUUUUGAUUAUUUGAAUGGACCAA